rnacentral:rRNA from 1 species
UCCUAAACGGCCGCGGUAUCUUGACCGUGCAAAGGUAGCAUAAUCACUUGUCUCUUAAAUGGGGACCCGUAUGAAUGGCUCUUCAUCCUCUACCUGUCUCCCUUUUCCCCCGCUCAAACUUCUAUUUACGUGAAGAAGCGUAAUUCAGAAAGAAAGACGAGAAGACCCUGUCGAGCUUCAGCCUACCCUGUAAACCAACCAUACUCCCCCUAGGAGAAAGCCCUUUUGCAGGUCAAGCUUUGGUUGGGGCAACCAUGGAGAAAAGACAUCCUCCAGUUCUAUAGGAAGAAAACUCCUCUCCUUUUUACCACCUAGAGAACCAAGAUUCUUGGGAAACGGAAAAAGUUACCGCAGGGAUAACAGCGUUAUCUUUUCUGAGAGCCCUUAUUGACGAAAAGGAUUGCGACCCUCGAUGUUGUGAUUGGUGUAACUAAGAGGUGUAGCAUCUCUUUUAGGGUUGCCUGCUCCCCUUUAACCUCCCU